rnacentral:lncRNA from 1 species
CCUACCAUGACGGGUUUGACCAAAGUCUAAGUCCCUUCCUGAAGGCUUACGAUAUGGCUAACGUGAACCUGGUGAAGAGUGCCAUUAGUGUGAAAGGUGUAUGGAAAGGUGAAUGAGCAAGAAUCAGGAAACCUGUCAGAGACUACUGCAAUGAUCCAACCAAGACGUGAAGGGCCUGAACUAGGCCUGGGGCCAAGAAAACAGGGAGAAGGGGGCUGGAGUGCAGCUCCACAAUCACAGCUCAUGGCAGCCUCAAUCUCCCAGGCUCAAGCGAUCCUACCACCUCGGCCUCCCAAGUAGCUGGGACUACAGGCACGCACCACCACACCUGGCUAAUAUCUCCUCUUGCCUUUUUAAUACCCCACCAAAGGUCUGUUUCCUAUACCAGCACACUCAGUCAUCAGGCACCAACUUUGCAGACUGCUGAGUGAGUCUUUGAUUUGCAGAUUUAGGAGGUUGAAAAUUUGGGUCCUUCUCAGGAUAGAUCAAAAUUGAAUUCCCUCUGGACACAGGGCUGAGCCCAGCACGGACGAAUUUUCUUCAACAAGUGGUGCUGAGAGUGGCAGGUUAGGUGGAAGACAGAGAGGAAAUAUCCUAGAACUCCUGCCUGAAGGUGUCCCCUACCCCCACCCCCUCACCGCCUCCACCCUAUAACCAACAACACUUCAUUUCCAACAAAAUAUGAACCGAGAAAGAGUGUUGGACACAUACAGUAAUGAAAAUCCAUGAUUCAACUGUGCAUUCAUAAUUAUUUCAUAAAUAAAUGGCUUCUGGAGAGGCGCAUCUGUCUCUCGCCACCACGUGCGUGCCUUUCAUUAAUGUAUCCCGGCCUACGUGGAGCUAGCCCGAGAGCUCCACUCAAGU